rnacentral:rRNA from 1 species
CCUACGGGGUGCUGCAGUGGGGAAUAUUGCGCAAUGGGCGAAAGCCUGACGCAGCGACGCCGCGUGAGGGAUGAAGGUCUUCGGAUCGUAAACCUCUGUCAGCAGGGAAGAACGGUCACUGUGCUAAUCAGCAGUGAAUUGACGGUACCUGCAAAGGAAGCACCGGCUAACUCCGUGCCAGCAGCCGCGGUAAUACGGAGGGUGCGAGCGUUAAUCGGAAUUACUGGGCGUAAGGCGCUCGUAGGCGGUAUGUCAAGUCAAGGGUGAAAUCCCCGCGCUCAACGUGGGAACGGCCUUUGAAACUGGCAAACUGGAGUGUGUGAGAGGAUAGUGGAAUUCCAGGUGUAGGAGUGAAAUCCGUAGAUAUCUGGAGGAACAUCAGUGGCGAAGGCGACUAGCUGGAACAUAACUGACGCUGAGGAGCGAAAGCGUGGGUAGCAAACAGGAUUAGAUACCCCUGUAGUC